rnacentral:rRNA from 1 species
UACGGAGGGUGCAAGCGUUAUCCGGAUUUACUGGGUUUAAAGGGUGCGUAGGUGUGUUGGUAAGUCAGUGGUGAAAUCUUCGAGCUUAACUCGGAAACUGCCAUUGAUACUAUCAAUCUUGAAUUAUCUGGAGGUAAGCGGAAUAUGUCAUGUAGCGGUGAAAUGCUUAGAUAUGACAUAGAACACCCAUUGCGAAGGCAGCUUACUACGGAUAUAUUGACACUGAGGCACGAAAGCGUGGGGAUCAAACAGG